UGAAACUUAAAGAAUUUGGCGGUAUUUUAAUCUAGUCAGAGGAACCUGUCCUUUAAUCGAUAUUCCUCGUUAAAUUUUACUAAAUUAUUUAUAUACCGUUGUCGUAAGAAUAAAUUUUCAAAAAUUAUAAUUAUAAUUUAUGUCAAAUCAAGGUGUAGUUUAUAAUUUAGUAGAGAUGGGUUACAAUAAAUUUAUUUAGGAUAUUAUUGAAGGAGGAUUUGAUAGUAAAUAAAAUUUAAUAAGUUUUAUUGAUUAUAGUUCUAAAAUAUGU
rnacentral:rRNA from 1 species